GUCGAGCGAACUGAUUAGAAGCUUGCUUCUAUGACGUUAGCGGCGGACGGGUGAGUAACACGUGGGCAACCUGCCUGUAAGACUGGGAUAACUUCGGGAAACCGAAGCUAAUACCGGAUAGGAUCUUCUCCUUCAUGGGAGAUGAUUGAAAGAUGGUUUCGGCUAUCACUUACAGAUGGGCCCGCGGUGCAUUAGCUAGUUGGUGAGGUAACGGCUCACCAAGGCAACGAUGCAUAGCCGACCUGAGAGGGUGAUCGGCCACACUGGGACUGAGACACGGCCCAGACUCCUACGGGAGGCAGCAGUAGGGAAUCUUCCGCAAUGGACGAAAGUCUGACGGAGCAACGCCGCGUGAGUGAUGAAGGCUUUCGGGUCGUAAAACUCUGUUGUUAGGGAAGAACAAGUACGAGAGUAACUGCUCGUACCUUGACGGUACCUAACCAGAAAGCCACGGCUAACUACGUGCCAGCAGCCGCGGUAAUACGUAGGUGGCAAGCGUUAUCCGGAAUUAUUGGGCGUAAAGCGCGCGCAGGCGGUUUCUUAAGUCUGAUGUGAAAGCCCACGGCUCAACCGUGGAGGGUCAUUGGAAACUGGGGAACUUGAGUGCAGAAGAGAAAAGCGGAAUUCCACGUGUAGCGGUGAAAUGCGUAGAGAUGUGGAGGAACACCAGUGGCGAAGGCGGCUUUUUGGUCUGUAACUGACG
rnacentral:rRNA from 1 species